UACGAGGCAGCAGUGGGGAAUAUUGCACAAUGGGCGAAAGCCUGAUGCAGCUAUGCCGCGUGUAUGAAGAAGGCCUUAGGGUUGUAAAGUACUUUCAUCGGGGAGGAAAAAACAAAACUAAUAAUUUUAUUUCUUGACGUUACCCGAAAAAGAAGCACCGGCUAACUCCGUGCCAGCAGCCGCGGUAAUACGGAGGGUGCUAGCGUUAAUCAGAAUUACUGGGCGUAAAGAGCACGUAGGUGGUUUUUUUAAGUCAGAUGUGAAAAUCCCUGGGCUUAACCUAGGAACUGCAUUUUGAAACUGAAAAUACUAGAGUAUCGUAGAGGGAGGUAGAAAUUCUAGGUGUAGCGGUGAAAAUGCGUAGAUAUCUGGAGGAAUACCUGUGGCGAAAGCGGCCUCCUAAACGAAUACUGACACUGAGGUGCGAAAAGCGUGGGGAGCAAAACAGGGAUUAGAUACC
rnacentral:rRNA from 1 species